rfam:Candidatus Saccharibacteria bacterium RIFCSPLOWO2_02_FTLL_46_7 rifcsplowo2_02_scaffold_19938, whole genome shotgun sequence.
GGGGUCGUAGCUCAGCGGCUAGAGCGUCUGCUUUACACGCAGAAAGUCGUAGGUUCGAAUCCUUCCGGCCCCA